rnacentral:rRNA from 1 species
UACGGAGGAGGCAAGCGUUAUCCGGAAUUACUGGGCGUAAAGCGUGCGCAGGCGGCGCGUUAAGACAGGUGUGAAAGCCCCGAGCUUAACUUGGGAAUUGCGCUUGUGACUGGCGUGCUGGAGUGUGGCAGAGGGAGGUGGAAUUCCACGUGUAGCAGUGAAAUGCGUAGAGAUGUGGAGGAACACCGAUGGCGAAGGCAGCCUCCUGGGCCAGCACUGACGCUCAUGCACGAAAGCGUGGGGAGCAAACAGG